rnacentral:rRNA from 1 species
AUUUAACGCUGGUGGCAGGCCUAACACAUGCAAUUCGAACGAGUGGCGGACGGGUGAGUCAUGUCUGGAAAACUGCCUGAUGUAUGGGGAUAAAUACUGGACACGGUAGCUAAUACCGCAUACCAUCAGAUGUUCCCAGAUGGGAGUAGCUUGUUGGUGGGGUAACGGCUAACCAAGGCGACGAUCCCUAGAUGGUCUGCGAGGAUGACCAGCAACACUGGAACGGAGACACGGUCCAGAGUCCUACGGGAGUCAGAAGUGGGGAAUAUUGCACAAGGGGCGCAAGCCGGAUGCAGCCAUGCCGCGUGGAUGAAGAAGGCCUUAGGGUUGUAAAGGACUUUCAGCGUGGAGGCGUUACCCGCAGAUGAAGCACCGGCUAACUCCGUGCCAGCAGCCGCGGUAAUAC